rnacentral:rRNA from 1 species
UUCUUUAUUUUAAAAAAUUUUAUUACUUAAGUAGUACAAAUGUGAGUAUAAAUAUAUAAUUCUUUGAUUGUUUGAAACUUAAAAGGCUUGGCGGUAUUAUAUAUCCUACCAGGGGAGCUUGCUUAUUAAUUUGAUAAUCCCCAAUUUAUACUUACUUUUUUUUGAAUUAUAACAGUUUGUGUAUUGCUGUCGUCAGUUUAUUUUGCAAAAAUUUAGGAAAAAACUAAAUAAUUUUAUGGUUGUGAUGUCAAGUCAAAAUGCAGUUUAUGAAAAAGGUUUAAAGUGAGCUACAAUUUAUAUUUUUAAUCGGAUUAGAAAAUGUAAUUUUUCUAUGAAGUUGGACUUGGUAGUAAUAAGAGUUUAAAUAGUGAGUUCUUAUGAAUUGGGUUUUAUAAUGCG